GCGAGACUCCGUCCUAAGAAAAAAAAGUCCGUGCUGGCAUUGUUUUUAUGAAAGAAGAAAACUGGAAACAAAUACCCAUCAAUACAACAAUGAACAAAUUACAUUUAUUCAAUGGAAAUAACUAUUUAAGAAUAGAAAUCAAAUUAGAGGUGAAUGUAUCAGUAUGGAUGAUUCUCAAAAUCACAGCACUUAGGUGCACUUUUGCCUGUCAAUUCUAUCUUUUCUAACUUUAUUGUAAUUUUAUCACUAGCCCCAAACCUCGUUCUCUUCCCAGGGCACUGGGUCCACUCUGGAGCAUCCCAGAACUGAGUCAAUCCUUCUGGAAGCAGGCGCACCCCUGGCUGCAUAGGAUGCCAUUUUGCUGAACUACUGGUUCAGAGACACAAGAGCCUGAAAUCUAUGGGAAUACAGAGCCAGAAAACCCAGGCACAGACCAGGACAUCUCCGAGGUAUUUGCGGCAAGUAGCUGCUAGACGCUUCCCUCUGCCAGCCCGGUGCCUUGCUAGCUGUGGAGGAGGUGCAGUGCAUGCCUGUCCCUGUCACCAGGGGCUGGUCAUCAACAGAAGCUGCUCCUUCCAAGCCGGCCGCGCACCUACUACAUCAUCAUCAGCCGUGUGUCCGUGGCUCUCCCUAUAACGGGAGCUUCCUGAGAGGUACUUUCAUUUCUCUGUGCUUCCUCUGGGCUCACCAGCAAGUGCUAAACUGAAGGAAGAUAGAGUUCAGUUGUUCACCAAUCAGAGUUUCUGUGGCUGUCCAUCAGUGCAUCUCUUCUAUGACAUGAGACAUCGCUGCAACGUGUCAUUAUGUUCAAAUUUGCGGGUCAGCCAGGGUGUAUCUGUAUGGAUUGAAUGUGUCCUCCUAAAAUUUGUAUGUUGAAGCCCUAACCCCCAAGAUGAGGAUACCUGGAGUUGGGACCGCUGGGAGGUGAUUAGGUUAGACGAGGUCAGGUGGACAUGGCUCCUGUGGUCGAGAUUAGCCCUAAUACCAAGAGACAGCAGAGGGCUCCACCCUGCUGUUGGCCACGUGCACACGUAGGGAGAAGGGGGCCGCCUACGAGCCAGGAAGACAGCCCUCAUCAGACACCGAUCACACCGGCACCCUGAUCUUGGAUCUGAGGCCUCCAGAACUGAGGGAAAAGAAAUGUCGACUGUUCAA